rnacentral:rRNA from 1 species
GAUGAACGCUGGCGGCGUGCCUAAUACAUGCAAGUCGAGCGGUAAGGUUCUCACAGUUUGCUGGCAUUCUUUUUUAAUAAGAUCGAGCAAAGUGUGAGAAUACACGAGCGGCGGACGGCUGAGUAACGCGUAGGAACGUACCCCAAAGUGAGGGAUAAGCACCGGAAACGGUGUCUAAUACCGCAUAUGAUCUUCGGAUUAAAGACUAUUUUGUCGCUUUGGGGAGCGGCCUGCGUAUGAUUAGUUAGUUGGUGAGUAAUGGCUCACCAAGACGACGAUCAUUAGCUGGUCUGA